rnacentral:misc_RNA from 1 species
UCCGGUUUGUCACCGGCAGUCCCAUUAGAGUGCCCAACUUAAUGUGGUAACUAAUGGCAAGGGUUGCGCUCGUUGCGGGACUUAACCCAACAUCUCACGACACGAGCUGACGACAGCCAUGCACCACCUGUGAUCCUGCCCACAAGGGGAAACCGUGUUUCCACGGCGGUCAGGAACAUGUCAAACCCAGGUAAGGUUCUUCGCGUUGCGUCGAAUUAAACCACAUGCUCCGCUGCUUGUGCGGGUCCCCGUCAAUUCCUUUGAGUUUUAGUCUUGCGACCGUACUUCCCAGGCGGGGUACUUAGUGCGUUAGCGCCGGUUCGGAAGGGGUCAAGACCUACCAAACCUAGUACCCAUCGUUUACGGCGUGGACUAC